rnacentral:rRNA from 1 species
CAGUAGCCGCGGGAAUACGGAGGGUGCAAGCGUUAAUCGGAAUUACUGGGCGUAAAGCGCACGCAGGCGGUCUGUCAAGUCAGAUGUGAAAUCCCCGGGCUUAACCUGGGAACUGCAUUUGAAACUGGCAGGCUAGAGUCUUGUAGAGGGGGGUAGAAUUCCAGGUGUAGCGGUGAAAUGCGUAGAGAUCUGGAGGAAUACCGGUGGCGAAGGCAGCCCCCUGGGAUAACACUGACGCUCAUGCACGAAAGCGUGGGGAGCAAACAGGAUUAGAUACCCCUGUAGUCCCUGUCUCUUAUAC